AAAUUAAAGGGCCGCGGUAUUUUGACCGUGCAAAGGUAGCAUAAUCAUUAGUCUUUUAAUUGAAGGCUGGAAUGAAUGGUUUAACGAAAUAUUAACUGUCUCUUUAUAAUAAAUAUAAUUUAACUUUUGAGUCAAAAGGCUUAGAUGAUUAUAAAAGACGAGAAGACCCUAUAGAUCUUUAUACAUGAAUAUUUUUAUUUUGUUUAGAUUAAUUUUUAAUGGAUAUAUUAUUGUAUUUUGUUGGGGUGACAUGAAGAUAAAAAUAACUCUUUAUUAUUAAUACAUUGAUUUAUGAAUAAUUGAUCCAUUAUUAGUGAUUAUAAGAUAAAGUUACCUUAGGGAUAACAGCGUAAUUUUUUUUAAGAGUUCUUAUCGACAAAAAAGAUUGCGACCUCGA
rnacentral:rRNA from 1 species